AGACUUGGAACCGCCCCUGGUGGGCGGAGCUGGUCUGUGCUCCUUUCAUAAGCGCAGGUGUGGGCAAUUAGGUAUUCCUCAGCAAACCUGAAGCUGCAAGUGUGUGGUCCAAGUUGGGCAAGUUGGUGUUAACUUCUGUCUAUGAAAGUCUGAUAUGGGUCCUCCCCUAAACUUCUUUUAGAACGGUGGGAAACAUUGCUCCCGUGAGAACAGUACAGUGGACUUCAUCGCCACUGACCCACAGUUAUUUGGGUGUGAUACGAACUUGUGGACAGAGUACCGAGCUGCUGCUUUGCCCGGUGGAUUUCUGGUUGCGGGCAAAGGACCCGACACAUCAGUGUGUUUUAAUUUGUUUUAAACUGGUGUAAGUCGACAGACUGACUGUUGCGGCUGUCGAUUGUUUUGUUUUGUUUUUCUUUUCUUUUUUCUGUAUCAGUAGGCACCACAAAUAUUGAUUCUUUUAGUAUUUUUAACCCUUUUCUUAAAUGUGUAUAGAUAUAUUGUCGCGAACGGUGAAGGCGCUGCAGGGAGAACAAAUCCUUUUUUUUCCCUCACCGCUUCUGCAUGCACAGCGGUGGGCCUGAGUGAAGACGGCACUGAAGCUUUUGUUUUUCUCUAUAGUGUUUUGCCCAUUUGGGGUCGUGUCAGUUGCUGUCCCUUUUUAACCUGUGUUAUGUUGAUUUGUUUUUAAUGGUUCCCCGCAGCGCUUGUCCUGUCUCACGGGCAAUCAUACAGUUUUAUCGUUUUUAAAUAAGGUAAAGCUUUUAAUUGUUUAAGUGCCGCUGUUACAUUGUUACUUUUAUUUUGUAUUAAAAAUUAAAUUCUUUUUAACUGACUGUGCGCCUACGGCUCUGUCCUAUUUUAAAUAGGUACCUACCACGGGUCACAUAUAUAAAAUCUUCUUAUUUAACAUUUUUAACUCUUUUUACUGUUCUUUUUAACUUGAAUACAUAAAAAUGAAUUAUUUUAAAGCAAACAUUAAAGAUAAAUGACAUAAUUGCCUUUGAGGAAUCACAAGUUGUGUUUUAUUAAAUUAUAUAAACAAAGAGGAUUUAAACGUGGGGCAAGGACAGGUGACCAGUGUUCUUUAAAAGACAAGUUCAUUGACUUUUUCCAUGUAUGCCCUGCUUUCUAGCAGACAGGGCAUACAUGGAACUCUAUAACAAGUGGCCAGCAUAGCAUACAGGGACAUCUGUGCUCAGUGGGGCCAAAGAGGUUUGCGUUAAAAAACAGAUUUAUGAGAUUUUUAGGGUUUUGUGGCCAAAUAGAAAACCUGGAGAGGUAGACGAGGUCAGUUUAACUGAUAUCAGUCCUAUCACAGCCAUUAAGGGGAAAAUGUCUUCUCUUCCUCGGUGGACUCUACAAACACAGUCUACUGAACACAGUGGCUAAAAAUAUAAAAUGCAGAGGCUGUUGUAAAAGUUAUCAGCAGCUUUCUUUUAGGGCUCUGAAUGUUGUAAUUUUUUCAGUGAGAACACAACACACGUAAAACCUGCUCACAACUAAGUCUGGAUUUUGGUCUUAUACAUGAGUCCAGGACACUCAGAUGCAGGUCAGAUUUCCAUGUAUCUGAAAUGAGGUAAUCAAUGUGUUUAGAGAGUCAGUCAGCUCUGAUACUUCAGGGUCACUGCAGGAAGGUAGAAAUCUGUGUGGAGAGACAGGAAUAGGAAGUAAAGUGACAAAUUAGAGAACAGAUUAUUUCACAAUAAAACAGGAAGUGAAACAAAAAGAAAACCAAAGGAUCACCACAGAGAGAAGAAAAUAAUAGAAUCAAAGUGAAACUAGAAACGUUCAGAAUAACAAUGAGUUCAAAGUGUGCGGAGGUCUGAUGUUCCAACAGUGUUCAGGCUGAGAAUUAUUACC